rnacentral:misc_RNA from 1 species
UUUCCGUAGGUGAACCCGCGGGAGGAUCAUUAAUGUAACCGGACCGUUCCUUUGCCGUAAAACGCACUGGAUUGGAAAGGGAGAUAUCAUACACCCUAUGUUUAUUUACUUUUGUUGCUUUGGUGGGCCGUCCUUUACGGCGUCGGCCUCGGCUGAUCGCGCCCGCCAGAGGACCCAAACUCUUUUAUUAGUGAUGUCUGAGUACUAUAUAAUAGUUAAAACUUUCAACAACGGAUCUCUUGGUUCUG